UGGGUAACCCACCCCGAUGAUUGGGACAACCCGGGGAAACUCGGGCUAAUACCAAAUGUACUCGUAGACCAUGAGGUCCAUGAGUAAAGAUAGCUUCGGCCUUCGCAUCGGGACGGGCCCGCGGCCCAUUAGCUUGUUGGUGAGGUAACGGCUCACCAAGGCUGCGAUGGGUAGCUGGUCUGAGAGGACGAUCAGCCACACUGGGACUGAGACACGGCCCAGACUCCUACGGGAGCAG
rnacentral:rRNA from 1 species